AUUUUAAGAAUAUGAUUUUUGUGAGUCACUGUGGCAAAUACUUUACUAACCUAACUAUAUCUAAUUUUGUCGAAAAGCAUGAGCAAGAUUUUUUUGGCUUGAACUCGUCUUUUUAAACCUGUUCUCGUUAUUGCUCAUAGUGCCUUUAUCCUCUAAAGAGUGCUUUCUUUUUGCUUUUAAUAUUUGUUCUAUUAUUUUACUAGGGUUAGAAAUUAGACUUCCAAGGCAGGAAUUGCCAGGAUCAGCCCUGCUUCCUUUUUUGAAGAUUAGUACAACUUUUACUGUAUCCUGUUGACCAGAUAAUGCUCUAGUUGUCCAGACUUCCAAAAACUAUUGUUGCCUAUUUGAACUGCAACAUAGCUUGGUGGAGACUAAACUGUUGAUGCUACUCAUUGGUCUCUGGGUUGUGUGUCUAGUUCCCAGUGUGGAAGUGUCCAUAUCACGUACACAAACAAAAUCUCACCAACAUAACAAGUGACUAGUGGAUAAGCCAAGGACUGUCUGGUGUGACUUCCGCUUGCAUUGAGGUGGACAAUGGGAGUGAUUUGGGAUUUCAUGGUAACACUUCCAUGCAGGCACAUUAGCAACACUAAGGCUCUAUCUACACCACAGACUUUUGUUAACAAAAGUCAGAUUUCAUCAACAAAACUGCACACACUACAAUGUUCUUUCCGCGAACAAAACUCUCCUGCUUUGCUGGCAAAAAACCAUGGAGCUGAGGAGCUAUGGGACAGGUGAUACUCAGGUGACGGAGGUAGGGCCGUAGGGUAGGUCGAGUCAGGUACGAGGUGACGGAGGUGGGGCCAUGGGGCAGGCAACAGUCAGAUACUGAGGUAAUUGGGGGGCACUGAGGAGCCACGGGGUGGAGGGCAGUCACGUACUGAGGUGAUGGGCGUGUGGCCAUGGGGCAGGUGGAGUCAUGUACUGAGGUGACAGGGGGCACUGAGGGUCAUGGGGUGGGUGGCUGUCAGAUACUGAGGUGAUGGGAGUGAGGCCAUGGAGCGGGUGGAGUCAGGUACUGAGGUGAUAGGGGGCACUGAGGGCCAUGGGGCAGGUGGCCAUCAGGUACCGAGGAUCAGGGGGCAGGUUGCAGUCAGAUACUGAGGUAAUUGGGGAGCACAGAGGGCCAUGGGGUGGAUGGCAGACUGGUACUGAGGUGAUGGGGAUGGGGCUAUCGGGAGGGUAGUAGUGAAGUACUGAGGUGAUGGAGUAGGGCCAUGAGGCGGGUGGCACUCAGGUACUGAGGUGAUGGGGGGCACUGAAGAGCCAUGGGGCAAGUGGCCAUCAGGUACUGAGGUGAUUGGGGGGCACAGACGGUCAUGGGGUGGGUGACAGUCAGGUACUGUGGUGAUUGGGGGGCACUGAGGUGCCAUGCGGCAGGUGGCAGUCAGAUACUGAGGUGACGGGGAUGGGGCUAUCGGGGGGGUAGUAGUGAAGUACUGAGGUGAUAGGAGUGGGGCCAUGAGGUGGGUGGCACACAGGUACGGAGGUGAUGUGAGGCACUGAGGGCCAUGGGGUGGGUAACAGUCAGGUUUGGAGAUGAUCAGGAUACUGAGGAGCCACGCAGAGCAGCAGAAGUGGGAGGCAGAUUUACAGAGGCAAAGGGUGGAUGGUCAUGUGGAUCUAAUGGGUGACUUGGGGUGCAAGUGGGAGAGACUGAAGGGAAGUGGCAGGCCUUUGACUUCCCGGAUUUGUACGAGGGUGUGCAAUACGAGGGUAAAAUACUGAAGACAAGAAACCCCCAAGGAGAUCCAAGCUGAGAGCUCCCUCUGUAGAGACCCCUAGGGGGAACCCAGGAAACCAUGUUUUCUUCCUCUUGGAGCCUUCAGUGAUAUCUCUGCUUACCUUCCAUCUCUGGCUGACCCCACAUGGAGCGAAACCUCCACCCUGCAGCUUCCCCACAGGCCUGUGCAAUCACAGUUAACUGAAUCCCUGACCACACUGGGGCUUUCAAACUUAAUUGCUGCCAGGGUUUCACCCUGCUGGGCAGGGAGUCCCCUACAAGGCCAGACCCUAGCUGAGGUGCUAGCAACAUCCACCCAGUGCAAGGCCAGUGGAUGGGCACAGCUAUCCACCCCCAGAACUUGGACAGAUUUGGGAGCGAAACCUGGCUCCAUGGAGUGACUAGAGCCUAAGAAGUCUCCAGUCCUGACCCAUCUGAGCAUCACUGCCUCCCAAGAAGG